CGCCGACCAGCUAGCCCACAACUACCAACAACCAAACAAUAUUAAUUAACCUUUAAGCCACUUGAAAUCAAGAAAAAUAAACCAUUUUUCCCCCCUAGUAUGGGAGACAGAAAAGGGAACAGGAGCCAUAGAGUAAGUACCGCAAGGGAAAGCUGAAAGAGAAGUGAAAUAACCCAGUAAAGCACUGAAAAGCAGAGCUUAUCCCUCGUACCUUUUGCAUCAUGAUUUAGCCAGUAAACAUUAAGCAAAGAGCCCUUUAGUUUAAGACCCCGAAACUAGACGAGCUACCCCGAGACAGCCUAACAAACAGGGCUAACCCAUCUCUGUGGCAAAAGACUGGGAAGAUCCCCGGGUAGAGGUGAUAGACCUAUCGAGCCUAGUUAUAGCUGGUUGCCUGGAAAUUGAAUAAAAGUUCAGCCUCUUGGCUUCUCCUCUCCUGAACCCGUGCCCUAGCAUGAUAGACAGACAUUAGAGAAACCGUGAGAGUUAGUUGAAGGAGGAACAGCUCCUUUAACAAGGGACACAACUCUAGCAGUUGGAUAAAGAUCAUAGUUCCUUAAGGUCAUAUGUCCUGGUGGGCUUAAGAGCAGCCAUCCGCAAAAAAAGCGUUAAAGCUUAAACACGUACACCUCCAAGAAUAAUGAUAUUUUUUUCUUAAUCCACUAAACCCUACCAGGCUACCCCAUGCCCCCAUGGGAGCAAUUAUGCUAGAAUGAGUAAUAAGAGAGCUAGACUCUCUCCUGGCACAUGUGUAAGUCGGAGCGGACCCCCCACCGAACAUUAACGGCCCCAAAUAAAGAGUGGAUUGAACGUUUAUCAAUACCCCUAGAAAAGAAAUCAUUUUGUACCGUUAACCCCACACUGGAGCGCCUAAGGGAAAGACUAAAAGAGAGAGAAGGAACUCGGCAAAUGCAUAAGCCUCGCCUGUUUACCAAAAACAUCGCCUUUUGCAAAAUUCAUGAAUAAGAGGUCAAGCCUGCCCACUGACAUAUGUUCAACGGCCGCGGUAUUUUAACCGUGCGAAGGUAGCGUAAUCAUUUGUCCUUUAAAUGGGGACCAGUAUGAAUGGCUUCACGAGGGCUUAACUGUCUCCUUUCUCUAGUCAAUGAAAUUGAUCUCCCCGUGCAGAAGCGGGGAUACAAACAUAAGACGAGAAGACCCUGUGGAGCUUUAGACACGAAGGAGCAUCAUGUAAAGAACCAUCAGAUAAAAAAUUCAACUUAUGAUUAUCUGCCUGAAUGUCUUAGGUUGGGGUGACCAUGGGGGAACACGAAGCCCCCACGAGGAAAGGGAGAACGACUUCCACAAUCAAGAGCCUGCCCUCUAACGACCAGAACUUCUGACCUUUAAGAUCCAGCAAAGCUGAUCAACGAACCAAGUUACCCCAGGGAUAACAGCGCAAUCCUCUUCUAGAGCCCAUAUCGACGAGGGGGUUUACGACCUCGAUGUUGGAUCAGGACAUCCUAAUGGCGCAGCCACUAUUAAGGGUUCGUUUGUUCAACGAUUAAAGUCCUACGUGAUCUGAGUUCAGACCGGAGCAAUCCAGGUCGGUUUCUAUCUAUGACCUAUCCUUUCCUAGUACGAAAGGACCGGGAAGGAGGGGCCCAUGUUCAAAACACACCCCACCUCUAACCGAUGACCCCCACUAAACCGGGAAGGAGGCAUAUAACCCAAGCCUGAGAUAAAGGCCAG
rnacentral:rRNA from 1 species